GAUGAAGAACGCAGCGAAAUGCGAUACGUAAUACGAAUUGCAGAUUCAGUGAAUCAUCGAGUCUUUGAACGCACAUUGCGCCCCCUGGUAUUCCGGGGGGCAUGCCUGUCCGAGCGUCAUUGCUGCCCUCAAGCACGGCUUGUGUGUUGGGCCUCCGUCCUCCUCCCGGGGGACGGGCCCGAAAGGCAGCGGCGGCACCGCGUCCGGUCCUCGAGCGUAUGGGGCUUCGUCACCCGCUCUUGUAGGCCCGGCCGGCGCUUGCCGACACAUCAAUCUUUUUUCCAGGUUGACCUCGGAUCAGGUAGGGAUACCCGCUGAACUUAAGCAUAUCAAUAAGCGGAGGA
rnacentral:misc_RNA from 1 species